rnacentral:rRNA from 1 species
AGUAGUUUGACUCCUGGCUCAGGACGAACGCUGGCGGCGUGCCUAACACAUGCAAGUCGAACGGAGUUUGUUCCUUCGGGAGCAAACUUAGUGGCGGACGGGUGAGUAACGCGUGAGCAACCUGCCUAGAAGAGGGGGAUAACGACUGGAAACGGUCGCUAAUACCGCAUAACAUCUCGGAACUGCAUGGUUCUGAGAUCAAAGGAGCAAUCCGCUUUUAGAUGGGCUCGCGUCCGAUUAGCUAGUUGUGGGGUAACGGCCUACCAAGGCGACGAUCGGUAGCCGAACUGAGAGGUUGAUCGGCCACAUUGGGACUGAGACACGGCCCAGACUCCUACGGGAGGCAGCAGUGGGGGAUAUUGCACAAUGGGGGAAACCCUAAUGCAGCAACGCCGCGUGAGGGAAGACGGUUUUCGGAUUGUAAACCUCUGUCCUUAGUGACGAUAAUGACGGUAGCUAAGGAGGAAGCCACGGCUAACUACGUG